rnacentral:tRNA from 1 species
UGAGGGAGAAACUCAAUGGUAGAGUGUUAGUUUGUCACAUUAAAAGUUACGGGUUCGAUUCCCGUCUCUCUCGA